CGUGAGAAAGGGCUACACAUUCCAGGAGGCACAGCGCGCCAAUAUCCAUCUAGACAGUAGGAGGUGGUGAAGAGAAUUACUAAGUGGUGGUCCAAUGGAUCACUUGUUUGGAAUGAACGUAACUUAAGAAAUUCGAUGAGAAACAACUGGAGGGCAAGUCCUGGUGCCAGCAGCCGCGGUAAUUCCAGCUCCAGUAGUGCUUUAAAGUUGUUGCGUUUAAAACGCUCGUAGUUGGAUCAUGCAGCAGUGUUGAGUAAUCUUUAGGGUAGCGUGAGCCAUGCGAUUCGUCUCGUACGGUCCGCGGUUCAGCUCCCUUUAGAUGUCAACGCUCAGCACUGCUAGUUGCACGUGAGAUAGAUUGUUGGCCUUGAAUGCGCCGAUAUUCUCGUCUUGCGGAGUGUGCCUUGAAUAAAACAGAGUGCUUAAAGCAGGUCGUUGCCUGAAUGUUAUAGCAUGGAACGAACAAUCGUGUAUAUGUGCGCGUCUUUGGACGGUGAUAGAUCUUUGGUCUGUUGUUGUUUGAGAUGUGCACGGCACCCACCAAAAUAUGGCUGUUGGUUCCAUUUACGGUGAUGAUUAAAAGGAGCGGUUGGGGGGAUCGGUAUUUGGCCGCGAGAGGUGAAAUUUUUAGACCGGCCAAGGACUAACAAAUGCAAAGGCACUUGUUUAGACCGUUUCCCUUAAUCAAGAACGAAAGUGGGAGGUUUGAAGACGAUCAGAAACCGUCAUAGUUCCCCCCGUAAACUAUGCCGACCUGGGAUCAGCUUGGAGAUGUUACAAGCUCCAAGUUGGUCCCCCUGGGAAACCUAAAGUUUUUUGGUUACGGGGAGAGUAUGGUCGCAAGGCUGAAAAUUAAAGGAAUUGACGGAAGGGCCCCCCCCGGGGUGGAGCCUGCGGGUUAAUUUGACUCAACCCGGGGAAACUUACCUGGUCCGGACAUCGAUAGGAUUAUCAGAUCCAUAGCUUUUAUAUGAUUCGAUGAGUGGCUGGGUGCCAUGGCUCGUUCUUA
rnacentral:rRNA from 1 species